AGUGCUGCUGUACAUUCGAGGGAGAUCAGAAAUGCUGAGCUGUGUCAUGUACGUCACAUCCCACAGAAACCACCCUGAGGAACCCGGUGGAGCCACAUGGACACCAGCAAGGAAGGUCUGAGAUUGUCUGCUGGCUUCUCUCAGAGGAAUGUCCUGAAUGGAGCUUGCUGUCAACACAGCUUUCAAGACAAAGAAGGUGUUGCUCUUGAUGACAGCAAUGGGGUCCCAGGGGAAGAAGCAAUGUUCCUAGACAUACUGGAG